CCUACGUGCGGCUGCAGUGGGGGAUAUUGCACAAUGGGGGAAACCCUGAUGCAGCGACGCCGCGUGUGGGAAGACGGUCCUCUGGAUUGUAAACCACUGUCCCCAGGGACGAAGAUGACGGUACCUGGGGAGGAAGCUCCGGCUAACUACGUGACAGCAGCCGCGGUCAUACGUAGGGAGCGCGCGUUGUCCGGAAUUACUGGGUGUAAAGGGAGCGUAGGCGGGACUGCAAGUUGGGUGUCAAAUCUACCGGCUCAACCGGUAGCCGCACUCAAAACUGCAGUUCUUGAGUGAAGUAGAGGCAGGCGGAAUUCCUAGUGUAGCGGUGAAAUGCGUAGAUAUUAGGAGGAACACCAGUGGCGAAGGCGGCCUGCUGGGCUUUUACUGACGCUGAGGCUCGAAAGUGUGGGGAGCAAACAGGAUUAGAUACCCUGGUAGUC
rnacentral:rRNA from 1 species